GACAGGAGCUGCCGUGGCCGAAGCCGGAGAGGCCACCGAAAGGCAAAGAAGAAGAACUGGAAGGCCAUCCGGCCGGCAGCUGCCUUCUGCUGCAGGCGAGAGAGAGCCUGCCUCUCCGGGUGGAGGACAGCCAAGCGGCCCGAGUUACAGAAGAGGAAGGGAGGAGAGAUGGAGAAAGAAGCGUCUGAGCUGUCAAAUUCUCCCAGCAGCCCCAAGAGCGAGAGCUGUGAGGCAGCACUGAGGACUCAGUUGUCGGUUCCUCUCUGUGGAUGUUGUUGACUGUGUCCGGCUCAGGUUUGUAUGCAUUGCUUUCGGCCUCAUUCUUCUCGCGGCGUGGGCAAAAAGGGACAGCUGGACACUUACUGGCUGUGGGCAGGAGCUGCCAUGGCUGAAGAUGGAGAGGCCAGAAAAAGGUACAACUUCUGAAGAAUAAAAUGAAGGGGAUCCAGCCAGCAGCUGUCUCCAGCUGCAGACAGGAGACAGCCUGCCUCUCCAGGUGAGGAAGGAUCCCUCUUAGUGUAGUCCUCAGCAGAUCCGAUCGCCAGUGUGCACGGCAGGGUCUGUGUGCGUAACCAAAAGCACAGUACGGCCACACAGUGUGUGCACAUGUGAGGCUGGGUAUCUAGGAAGCCUCAUAUUGUAAGAGCUGUAAGAUGCCAAUCUAAUCUCUUAGGUGGAUGAUAGUCAAGCGACCGGAGCUACAGAGGGGGAAGGGAAGGGGAGAGACAGACAGAGAAAGAUGGAUCUGAACUGUCAAAUUCUCCCAGCAGCUCCAAGAGUGGGAGGUACAGUGAGUCCUGGACCCUUGGGGCUGUGUCACCCAUCUUCUGCAUCCCAGUCCCUCCCUGCCUCCACCUUCUUUCUCUCAUUGCUGUCGUUUUUCUUUGCUUCCUGCACCUCUCCCUCUCUUGUUCUCCAAGUCCCCCUCUUUCUCUGUUGUUCUACCCCUCUGUUUUCUUUUUUUCUCUGUGCUUCUGUCCUGUUCCCUGUCCCUCUUUUUUUCAUCCUCUGUCUCUGCCCUGCAGCCCAUCACUACUUUUGUCUUUCUCCACCUAUCUGUCCAUCUUCCUAUCCCAUUUUUUUUGAUUCCUCCACGUCUGCCCUUUAGCCCUUCACAAUUCCCACCACCCUCACCUCUCUGGCGCUGUGUCUCUAUUUUUAAACUCGUCUCUCUCUGCCCUGUAUUCUAGAUAUACUUUUUUAGAUUCUCUUUGCUCCAGGUCCCUGUCCCUAUGUUUCAAUUUCUUGCCUCUCUGUCUCACAGCCCAUUUCUGCCUUUAUCAUUCUCUCUCUAUCUGGCUUCUUGUCCCUAUUCUUUAUUUCUCCACUCUCUCUCCUUUAGAUCAUUGAUGGUUUUGGUAUUUCUCAGUCUCUCUCUGUCCUCCUCACUCUACCCUUUUUAAAUUCCUCCCUCUCUGCCCUGUGGCCAUCACUAAUCUUUGGUAUUUUCCAUCUCUCUGUCUGGUACCUUCUCCCCUUUUAUUAGUUCCUCCUUUCUGUCCUGUAGCCCAUUGCUAUUCCCACCCACUCACCUCCCGUCGCCUCUCUCUCUGUGUCUCCCUUUCCCUAUUUUUCAAUCCCCCCUCUCUGCCCUGUAGCCGGUUGCUCUUGUAGUGGGUUUACAUGGCAAGGUUUUGUUAGCUGGGGGGGGUGGGUUCUCUGAGAAGACACCAGGAGUUGCCCCCACGUUGGGCACAGCCAGCUCCAGCUCCAAGACAGAUCUGCUGCUGGUCAAAGCUGAGCCAACCAGCAACGCUGGUAGCACCUCUGUGAUAUUUAAGAGGGGCUAAAAAAGUGCUGUGCAGAAGCUGUGAUAGAGAAAAUGUGAGUGUGAAACAGCCCUGCAGACCCCCAGGUCAGUGCAGAAGGAGGGGGAGGAGAUGCUCCAGGCGCCGGAGCAGAGAUUCCCCUGCAGCCCGUGGGGAAGACCAUGGUGAGGCAGGCUGUCCCCCUGCAGCCCAGGGAGGUCCACGGUGGAGCAGAUCUCCACCUGCAGCCCGGGGAGGACCCCACGCCGGAGCAGGGGGAUGCCCGAAGGAGGCUGUGACCCCGUGGGAAGCCCGCGCUGGAGCAGGCUCCUGGCAGAACCUGCGGAUCUGUGGAGA